AACGAACGCUGGCGGCAGGCUUAACACAUGCAAGUCGAACGCCCCGCAAGGGGAGUGGCAGACGGGUGAGUAACGCGUGGGAAUCUACCGUACCCUACGGAAUAACGCAUGGAAACGUGUGCUAAUACCGUAUAUGCCCUACGGGGGAAAGAGUUAUCGGGGUAUGAUGAGCCCGCGUUGGGUUAGCUAGUUGGUGGGGUAAAGGCCUACCAAGGCGACGAUCAAUAGCUGGUCUGAGAGGAUGAUCAGCCACAUUGGGACUGAGACACGGGCCAAGCUCAUGCGGGAGGGAGCGUUGGGGAAUAUUGGACAAUGGGAGGAAGCUUGGGCCAGCCAUGCCGAGUGAGUGAUAAUGGUCUUAGGAUUGUAAAGCUCAUGCAGCGGUGGAGAUAAUGACGGUAACCGGAGAAGAAGCCCCGGCUAACUUCGUGCCAGCAUCCGCAGUAAUAC
rnacentral:rRNA from 1 species